rnacentral:misc_RNA from 1 species
AAAAGAAGGAUAAAGCAUCCAAGGAGGUGAAGGAAUCAGAUAAUCAGCCAAACAGCGUAGGUGCAACUGUUCUACCAGAGGAAACUGGAGGAGCUGAGCAAGUAGAAGAUGCAUCUACGGUGGAUAUGAAGGAGAGGCUGAAAAGGGUGGCAUCGGCAAAGAAAAAGAAAUCCGGUAAAGAGACAGAUGGUGCUGCAAGAGCUGCCGCAACAGAGGCUGCUGCAAGGAGUGCCAGGCUUGCUGCAGCAAAGAAGAAAGAGAAGAGCCAUUACAACCAGCAGCCAAUGCGGUAAAUUCUACACCAGCUUGGAAUGAUUAGCAUCAAUGGUCCGAGUUCCAAACAGUUUGGUACACCAAAUCGUUGUUUUGCUGAUGUAGAAAAAGAUUUGGGCUCUAAGUUAUGGUCUUUAGGGCACACAGAAAAAAAAACUAUGGACUAGUUCU